rnacentral:rRNA from 1 species
AACGAACGCUGGCGGCGCGUCUUAAGCAUGCAAGUCGAACGGCAAGAGAAGAGCUUGCUCUUCUCCUAGAGUGGCGGACUGGUGAGUAACACGUGGGUGAUCUACCCUUGAGAUGGGGAUAGCUUUUAGAAAUAAGAGAUAAUACCGAAUACACUUACGAUGUUUUGACAUUGUAAGAAAAGGAGCGUUUGCUCCGCUUAAAGAUGAGCCUGCGUCCCAUUAGCUAGUUGGUGAGGUAAAGGCCCACCAAGGCAAUGAUGGGUAUCCGGCCUGAGAGGGUGACCGACACAUUGGGACUGAGAUACGGCCCAAACUCCUACGGGAGGCAGCAGCUGAGAAUCUUCCGCAAUGGACGAAAGUCUGACGGAGCGACACCGCGUGAAUGAUGAAGGCCGAAAGGUUGUAAAAUUCUUUUGCAGACAAAGAAUAAGGAUAGUAGGAAAUAACUGUCUGAUGACGGUGGUUAUGCGAAUAAGCCCCGGCUAAUUACGUGC